UACAGAGGUCUCAACCGUUGUUCGGAUUCAUUGGGCGUAAAGGGUGCGUAGGCGGUCGUGCAAGUCGGAUGUGAAAUCUCAGGGCUCAACCCCUGAAACUGCAUUCGAUACUGCGCGGCUAGAGUGCUGGAGGGGAGACUGGAAUUUACGGUGUAGCAGUGAAAUGCGUAGAUAUCGUAAGGAAGACCAGUGGCGAAGGCGAGUCUCUGGACAGCAACUGACGCUGAGGCACGAAGGCCAGGGGAGCAAACGGG
rnacentral:rRNA from 1 species